AAGACUGUACUUUCAGGGAUCAUUUCGAUAGUUUUUGAAAUGUAUUUCUAGAGUGUAUGGUCUCGCUAACCGCGAUGAUGAGUUGUGAUGUUCGCUUUUGAAAAUGACAGACAACCAUGAUUUUGUCAUGUGUUUUGUUAUUGAUGACUGUUCAUUGCUAAUUUUUGGAGCUUUGACAAAGGGAAUAUGAUCUGAGUGGU
rnacentral:snoRNA from 1 species